rnacentral:tRNA from 1 species
GUACUGGUGGCUUAAAACAAAGCAUUAGUCUUGUAAACUAAGUAUGAAGGUUGAAUUCCUUCCCAAUACU